ACGAACGCUGGCGGCGUGCCUAAUACAUGCAAGUCGAACGCUUCUUUUUCCAUCGGAGCUUGCUCCACCGGAAAAAGGGGAGUGGCGAACGGGUGAGUAACACGUGGGUAACCUGCCCAUCAGAAGGGGAUAACACUUGGAAACAGGUGCUAAUACCGUAUAACAAUCGAAACCGCAUGGUUUUGAUUUGAAAGGCGCUUUCGGGUGUCGCUGAUGGAUGGACCCGCGGUGCAUUAGCUAGUUGGUGAGGUAACGGCUCACCAAGGCGACGAUGCAUAGCCGACCUGAGAGGGUGAUCGGCCACAUUGGGACUGAGACACGGCCCAAACUCCUACGGGAGGCAGCAGUAGGGAAUCUUCGGCAAUGGACGAAAGUCUGACCGAGCAACGCCGCGUGAGUGAAGAAGGUUUUCGGAUCGUAAAACUCUGUUGUUAGAGAAGAACAAGGAUGAGAGUAACUGUUCAUCCCUUGACGGUAUCUAACCAGAAAGCCACGGCUAACUACGUGCCAGCAGCCGCGGUAAUACGUAGGUGGCAAGCGUUGUCCGGAUUUAUUGGGCGUAAAGCGAGCGCAGGCGGUUUCUUAAGUCUGAUGUGAAAGCCCCCGGCUCAACCGGGGAGGGUCAUUGGAAACUGGGAGACUUGAGUGCAGAAGAGGAGAGUGGAAUUCCAUGUGUAGCGGUGAAAUGCGUAGAGAUCGGGAGGAACACCAGUGGCGAAGGCGGCCUACUGGGCUUUAACUGACGCUGAGGCACGAAAGUGUGGGUAGCAAACAGGAUUAGAUACCCUGGUAGUCCACGCCGUAAACGAUGAGUGCUAAGUGUUGGAGGGUUUCCGCCCUUCAGUGCUGCAGCUAACGCAUUAAGCACUCCGCCUGGGGAGUACGACCGCAAGGUUGAAACUCAAAGGAAUUGACGGGGGCCCGCACAAGCGGUGGAGCAUGUGGUUUAAUUCGAAGCAACGCGAAGAACCUUACCAGGUCUUGACAUCCUUUGACCACUCUAGAGAUAGAGCUUCCCCUUCGGGGGCAAAGUGACAGGUGGUGCAUGGUUGUCGUCAGCUCGUGUCGUGAGAUGUUGGGUUAAGUCCCGCAACGAGCGCAACCCUUAUUGUUAGUUGCCAUCAUUUAGUUGGGCACUCUAGCAAGACUGCCGGUGACAAACCGGAGGAAGGUGGGGAUGACGUCAAAUCAUCAUGCCCCUUAUGACCUGGGCUACACACGUGCUACAAUGGGAAGUACAACGAGUCGCAAAGUCGCGAGGCUAAGCUAAUCUCUUAAAGCUUCUCUCAGUUCGGAUUGUAGGCUGCAACUCGCCUACAUGAAGCCGGAAUCGCUAGUAAUCGCGGAUCAGCACGCCGCGGUGAAUACGUUCCCGGGCCUUGUACACACCGCCCGUCACACCAUGAGAGCCGGGGGGACCCGAAGUCGGUAGUCUAACCGCAAGGAGGACGCCGCCGAAGGUAAAACUGGUGAUUGGGGUG
rnacentral:rRNA from 1 species